rnacentral:misc_RNA from 1 species
GAUGAAGAACGUAGCGAAAUGCGAUAAGUAAUGUGAAUUGCAGAUUUCCAGUGAAUCAUCGAAUCUUUGAACGCACAUUGCGCCCCUUGGUAUUCCAUGGGGCAUGCCUGUUCGAGCGUCAUUUGUACCCUCAAGCUAUGCUUGGUGUUGGGUGUUUGUCCUCUCCUUUGCGAUUGGACUCGCCUUAAAGACAUUGGCAGCCAGUGUAUUGGUCUUGAAGCGCAGCACAUUUUGCGAUUCUUGCUGAUAAUCACUAGCGUCCAGUAAGCCUAUUUUAACACUUUUGACCUCGGAUCAGGUAGGGAUACCCGCUGAACUUAAGCAUAUCAAUAAGCGGAGGA